rnacentral:tRNA from 1 species
CAAUAGAUAUUUUAUUUAAAAAUUUUAAUUUUGGAGAUUAAAGAAAAAGAAAAAUCUUUUCUGUUGA